rnacentral:rRNA from 1 species
UACGUAGGGUGCAAGCGUUGUCCGGAAUUACUGGGCGUAAAGGGCUCGUAGGCGGCCAACUAAGUCAGACGUGAAAUCCCUCAGCUUAACUGGGGAACUGCGUCUGAUACUGGAUGGCUUGGAUCCGGGAGAGGGAUGCGGAAUUCCAGGUGUAGCGGUGAAAUGCGUAGAUAUCUGGAGGAACACCGGUGGCGAAGGCGGCAUCCUGGACCGGUAUUGACGCUGAGGAGCGAAAGCCAGGGGAGCAAACGGG